rnacentral:ncRNA from 1 species
AUAUAGGCUGUGAAGGAGAGUAUUAGCAUUUUUUCAUUUAUUUAAGAGAGCUGUCGGUUGGUGUAAGACAGUACUGAAAAAUGUGAACUUGUUCUGGAGCUGAGUCGGUUAAAAUCCGUUAAAAUGAAAAAGUGAGGCUUAUGUCUAACGAGAGUGGUACCGCGGAAUUUUUUUCGUCUCUUGU